UAGGGAAAGUUGCAAAGCACUUUGAAGAGAGAGUUAAAGAGGACGUGAAACCGGUAAGGUGGAAACGGAUAGAGUCGGCGUAUCAUUCAAUUAUUCAGUUACAUUAUUUUUAUGUUGUGACCUCUGAGCUCCAGAUUGGGACAGAGGGAAUCAGCAUAAUUUUUUGUGAGUGCAUUUACUUGAUUAUGGUGCUUGCGGGACUGUUUGAGGCAGAUUUGUUUCCGUCGUUUUGAGGCCAGUCUUGCUGGUACCCAAACGGUGUUAGCAUUUUUUGUCUUGGGCAUUUCGAGUCGAUUGGCUCACGUGUAUUUAUUGGACAGAUCUGAGUGUAAGUUACGGUCGCAUGCGACACGUGCUUUUCAAUUAGUUCGGUCACAGUUAAUGCUCUCGUACUCGUUCCCCAUGUAAAAGCCGGUCUUAUCUAUCCGACCCGUCUUGAAACACGGACCAAGGAGUUUAUCGUGUGCGCAAGUUUUUGGGUGUUAAAAACUUAAAAGUCUAAAUGAAAGUCAAAUGACUCUUUAGAGUCUGAUGUGCGAUCUUGUAAAAAAGUGUAGCAUGGCCCCAUUAUCUAACUGCUUUACAGUAGGGUAGGCGGAUUAGAGCUGUACGCGGUGAGACCCGAAAGAUGGUGAACUAUUCCUGAGCAGGACKAAGCCAGCUGAACUCUAGCUCGGUGGAAGUCUCGA
rnacentral:rRNA from 1 species